rnacentral:rRNA from 1 species
UACGUAGGGUGCAAGCGUUAAUCGGAAUUACUGGGCGUAAAGCGUGCGCAGGCGGUUUUGUAAGACUGUCGUGAAAUCCCCGGGCUCAACCCUGAGCGGCCACCCGAUACUGCUGUGACUUGAGUCUGGUAGGGGAGUGGGGAAUUCCUGGUGUAGCGGUGAAAUGCGCAGAUAUCAGGAGGAACACCGGUGGCGAAGGCGCCACUCUGGGCCACGACUGACGCUGAGGAGCGAAAGCAUGGUAGCAAACAGG